rnacentral:rRNA from 1 species
GUUGGUUAGGUAAUAGCUGACAAAGCCGAUGAUCCUUAGCUGGUUUUAGCGGAUGUCCAGCCACAUUAAAACUGAGAUAAGGUUUAAACUCUUUUUAGAGGCAGCAGUGAGGAAUUUUGAACAAUGAGCGCAAGCUUGAUUCAGCAAUAUAGAGUGAACGAUGACAGCUCUUUAGUUGUAAAGUUCUUUUGUUAAUAUAAGAUUAUGACUUUUAAUUAACGAAAAAGCCCUGGCAAAUUUCGUGCCAGCAGCCGCGGUGAGACGAAAAGGGCGAGUGUUAUUCGAAAUUACUGGGCGUAAAGGGUACGUAGGUUGCAUUUAUUGUUAAAUUAUAAAGCACAAUUUUCAAUGUUGUGAUAUAAAAAACAGAAUGCUAUGAGUUUUAAAAAGGACUUUAGAAUUUUAAAGGUAGAAAUAAAAUUCGUAGAUCUUUAAAGGAAUUUCUAUAGUGAAAACAAAAGUCUUGUUUCUUACUGACACUAAUGUACGAAAGCUUAGGUAGCAACCAGGAUUAGAUACCCUGUUAGUCUAAGCUGUAAACUAUGAAUACUCAUUUUUGGAUUUUUUCAGAAAUUUAGCUAACGCGUUAAGUAUUCCGCCUGAGAAGUACGUUGGCAACGAUGAAACUCAAAGGAAUUGACGGGGAUUUAUACCAUUUGCGGAAUAUGUGGUUUAAUUCGUAAAUACACGCAAAAACUUACCAAAUCUUGUAUGUUAGAUUUUCUAUUAUUGUUUAUGUGAUUUCUUUCACAGGUGCUGCAUGGCUGUCGUCAGCUCGUGUUGUGAAAUGUUAGGUUAAGUCCAUUUACGAGCGCAACCCUUGCUUUUUUGUUACCAUCUUAAAGAUUAGUUUUUUCUAAAAAAGCUUUUUUUUAGGUACUCAAAAAGAAUUGCUUAUGAUAUAUAAGAUGAAAGAAAGGAUGACGUCAAGUCUUCAUGGCCCUUAUGGUUUGGGCUACCCAUGUAUUACAAUGAUAAUUACAAAAAGUUGCACAAAUGAAAAUUUUAGCUAAUCUUCUAAACAUUAUCGUAGUUCGGAUUAUUUUCUGUAAGACGAAAAUAUGAAGUUGAAGUAAAUAGUAAUCGUUUAUCAGGAAGAAACGGUGAAUUUGUACUUAAAUCUUGUACAUACCGCCCGUCACAUCGAGGAAUUUU